GCCGGGGUAGCCAAGUGGCAAAGGCGCGGGUCUUAAGAAUCUGUGGAUGGAUAUCCUUUAGGGGUUCGAUUCCCCUCCCCGGCA
rfam:Caenorhabditis japonica strain DF5081 Contig18042.17, whole genome shotgun sequence.